rnacentral:miRNA from 1 species
GAGGCUGGGGGCCGCCCUCUUCAACAAAAUCACUGAUGCUGGAGUCGCUGUGCCAUCACUCGGCAGCACCAGGAUGUUGUCGAGGAGGACGGCCCGGCUGGCG